GUGGCUUAAUUUGACUCAACGCGGGAAAUCUUACCGGGUCCGGAUACACUGAGGAUUGACAGACAACCAUAGACAGAAUACACAUACGAUUGUAUUCCUAACGGAAUAUGAUUAGUUGGUCUAAGGAUUUACACACAGGCACUAUCUCUCAUGAUUAUGUUGUAGGUGGUGCAUGGCCGUUGUUAGUUCGUGGAGUAAUCUGUCUGCUUAAUUGCGUUUCGUACAAAGUACUCACUCAAUCCUAGGCAUAGUCCAAUUAUAUGUGGCGGCAUCUAAAACAGUUUCGUUUGUGCGAACCUGUGUCGCCUCUGGGUUAUUGUCAUUUGGAGAGUACGUGAAGGCAACGAACGUGACCGUAGUGUUUUAGUUUGGAUUUCAGACAAGUGUUAUUAACUUGACACGGUCUGAGUUGGUUCAUGUGUACGCGCGCAACACACAGGAUGUGUCCCUAACGUCUUUUGACGUGAGUGUACUAACAUUUCCAGUAACCAUUUCAACUAUACAUACCACUGCUUUUUUUUCUCUAACCAGGGGAAGGUUGCGGCAAUAACAGGUCUGUGA
rnacentral:rRNA from 1 species